rnacentral:tRNA from 1 species
UGUAGCCCAGCAGCAGGGCAUCUGUCUGACAAGCACAAGAUCUUGAGUUCAAUUCUCAGUA